rnacentral:tRNA from 1 species
AAAUUAGAAAGCGAAAAUUUGCAUUUAGUUUCGGCCUAAAUUUUGGUCUUGACCUCUAAUU